rfam:Canis lupus familiaris chromosome 35, whole genome shotgun sequence.
AGCUUAUUUCUAGAUGAAAAUGGGCACUGUCCCUCAUGGUGUCCAGAAAUUGUGAAUGUGGUUAACUGAGACGGGAGGCGCUUCCAUCACAGCAAGAUGACCGCAGGGGUGACCACGAGGCCAUAACAUCC